CCUGCUGAGACAAGGAAAUAUUUUCACAACUCAAGACAAGUUAAAUAUCCACUUAUGGGAACAGUGCUGAAGGCCUGGACUAGGAUGGUAGCAAUGGAGACAGACUAAAGGUCAGCAUAACAGUCAACAUUAAGGGGGUUGAAUCAACAGCACAUAGUACCUGAUUGGAAAUACAGAGUAAAUUACAGUGAGAAGAAGAGAUGCAAUCAUUCCCUUGCAUAUGGUCCGUAUGAAGACGGGAUCAUUACAGGAAAGGUGAAGGAGAUACAGUCAUUAUGCUCUAUAUACACCCAUUUUUAUGGCUAGCGGCUGAAGAUGGGAUGCUUUCUUUGCUGGAAGACCUAUUACCUGUUAGGUUGCAAAAGAUGUGAUCAUCUUCCUAAACAAUAAUUUAGAGUCCCAUAACAAUUUUAAGUGUGCUGUUCAUGAAAAUUUGAAUACAUUGUAUUGGGAAUAUAAUGGAAGUGAGAUGCCUCAUGUCGUGAGAAAAUCUGACAUAAACUCCUUAAGCAUGAGAGGCCAUGUGGGUAUGGAAGCCCUGAAAGGGAGGAAAAAACAGCCAGACCCUAGCUGUUCCAGUCAUCCCAACUGAGGUGCCAGACUUGUGAUUGAGGCCAUCUUGCAUCAUCUAGGCCUAGUAGAGCUGCCAACUGACUGCAGACACAUGAGUCAAUCCAGCUAAUGCCACAUGGAGCAGAGACAAGCCGCCCAGCUGAGCCCAGUCCAGAUGACAGAAUCAUGAGCAAAUAAGGUUGUUGUUCUUUUAAGCCACUAAAUUUUCGGGUGAUUUGUUACACAGUAAUAAAUAACUGAAACAACUAU
rnacentral:lncRNA from 10 species